rnacentral:rRNA from 1 species
UACGGAGGGGACUAACGUUGUUCGGAAUUACUGGGCGUAAAGCGCGUGUAGGCGGCUCGGAAAGUCGGAUGUGAAAGCCCUGGGCUUAACCUAGGAAGUGCAUUCGAAACUCUCGAGCUUGAGUUCUGGAGAGGAAGGCGGAAUUCUCGGUGUAGAGGUGAAAUUCGUAGAUAUCGGGAGGAACACCAAUUGCGAAGGCAGCUCGCUGGGACGGUACUGACGCUGAGGCGCGAAAGCGUGGGGAGCAAACAGG